rnacentral:rRNA from 1 species
GCAUAUCAAUAAGCGGAGGAAAAGAAACCAACAGGGAUUGCCCCAGUAGCGGCGAGUGAAGCGGCAAGAGCUCAGAUUUGAAAUCGUGUUUCGGCACGAGUUGUAGAGUGUAGGCGGGAGUCUCUGUGGAGCGCGGUGUCCAAGUCCCUUGGAACAGGGUGCCUGAGAGGGUGAGAGCCCCGUAGGGUGCUGCGCGAAGCUUUUGAGGCCCUGCUGACGAGUCGAGUUGUUUGGGAAUGCAGCUCCAAGCGGGUGGUAAAUUCCAUCUAAGGCUAAAUAUUGGCGAGAGACCGAUAGCGAACAAGUACUGUGAAGGAAAGAUGAAAAGCACUUUGAAAAGAGAGUGAAACAGCACGUGAAAUUGUUGAAAGGGAAGGGUAUUGGGCUCGACAUGGGGGGUGCGCACCGCUGUCUCUUGUAGGCGGCGCUCUGGGCGCCCUCUGGGCCAGCAUCGAUUCGGAUGGUAAGAUAAUGACAGUUGAACGUGGUUCCAUUCGUGGAGUGUUAUAGCUUCUGUUGAUAUUGCCUGUCUGGAUCGAGGGCUGCGUCUUUUGACUAGGAUGCUGGCGUAAUGAUCUAAUGCCGCCCGUCUU